AUACUUACCUGGCAGGGGAGAUACCAUGAUCACAAAGGUGGUUUUUCCCGGAGCGAGGCUUAUCCGUUGCACUCUGGAUGUGCUGACCCCUAUGAUUUCUGAGAGAGAGAGAGAGAGAAAUAUGAUACAUAUAAACUUUGC
ensembl:snRNA U1 U1 spliceosomal RNA